AGUCGCACGAGAAAGUGGAGCAAUCCAUGAGUACAGUGGCGUACGGGUGAGUAACACGUGGAUCAUCUACCUUCUAGUGGGGAAUACCCCUGGGAAACUGGGGACAAUACCGCAUAAGCUCGUAAGAGGAAAGCAGCAAUGCGCUGGAAGAGGAGUCCGCGGCUGAUUAGCUAGUUGGCGGGGUAAUGGCCCACCAAGGCGAAGAUCGGUAGCCGGCCUGAGAGGGCACACGGCCACACUGGCACUGAAACACGGGCCAGACUCCUACGGGAGGCAGCAGUGGGGAAUCUUGCACAAUGGAGGAAACUCUGAUGCAGCGACGCCGCGCGAGCGAUGAAGCCCUUCGGGGUGUAAAGCUCUUUCGACGGGAACGAUAAUGACGGUACCCGAAGAAGAAGCUGCGGCUAACUACGUGCCAGCAGCCGCGGUAAUACGUAGGCAGCAAGCGUUGUUC
rnacentral:rRNA from 1 species